CUCGGAAUCAAUGAAAAAUAACCCACAAGUUGGGCUAAAUAGCUGAGAAAAUACGAAAUUAUGGAAGUUUUGCCAAAAAUCCCAAAAAUCACACCAAAAUAAAAUACGGAAUAAAAUAAGUAACUUGCCAAACCUAUGGCUCAAAUUGGAUUCGUAGUCAACUAGAAAAAGGAAAAAGAAACAUUACCAUAAAUGGAAAAAAACAACUAAAAAUUGAAAUUCGAAGGGGAAAAUAGCGAAUUUUACCCUCGAAAUUGAUGUCUAUCGAGCAUAGCUGGGUGACCACGACAUGCGCACCAAAAAGAGCAUUUCGAAUUGGGUCAUAAUGACGAUUCUGAUAACCGUAGCCAAAGUUAUGGCUAAAUUACCAAAAAUGUAUCAAAAUUACCCCAAUUAAAGAAAGUGUUGUAAUCACCUUCCAUCUUUGAGUCGAUCUGCCAUCUCAUAGUAUCUCAACGACAUUAAAGUGCUAUCUAACAUCUGGGCCUCACUUGAUUCAGAACCUCCUGCAUCAAUCUGUCACCAUAUUUAUGCAUUACCACCCAAAAAUAGUAAGUUUACUGUCAAUCAUUGCACCGCAAUGCAAUCACCGACGAAUCCAGCACCUGUCAAGUAUCGACGACUGCCCAUGCUGGCUCCGCCGAGAAAUGUUUUUUUUCCCCCUUAUAAUAUUGGGCAGCCGCAUGCUCACCUCUCAUCCUAGAUCCGUUAGUGAAUGCAAUUAGUUAGUCACUUAAUAUGGGGCAAUGAUACAUUACUGCUAGUGAUACAUGGCAGUGCUCAAUAAUUAAGCUAUUUUAUUCUAUUUUUAUGAAUGCUUAGUUGUGGAUCUUCUGGACCUCUCAUAAUUUCAUCAACUGAAUGAUCAACUAUGUGAUAGAUCCCAGGGCUGGCCUUGAGAAUUCUGAGGCCCUAGGCGGCCAAUUAUUA
rnacentral:lncRNA from 1 species